rnacentral:rRNA from 1 species
CCUACGGGGGGCUGCAGUGGGGAAUAUUGGACAAUGGGGGGAACCCUGAUCCAGCCAUGCCGCGUGUGUGAAGAAGGCCCUCGGGUUGUAAAGCACUUUCAGUGAGGAAGAACGCCUGGUGGUUAAUACCCAUCAGGAACGACAUCACUCACAGAAGAAGCACCGGCUAACUCCGUGCCAGCAGCCGCGGUAAUACGGAGGGUGCGAGCGUUAAUCGGAAUUACUGGGCGUAAAGCGCGCGUAGGUGGCUUGAUAAGCCGGUUGUGAAAGCCCCGGGCUCAACCUGGGAACGGCAUCCGGAACUGUCAAGCUAGAGUGCAGGAGAGGAAGGUAGAAUUCCCGGUGUAGCGGUGAAAUGCGUAGAGAUCGGGAGGAAUACCAGUGGCGAAGGCGGCCUUCUGGACUGACACUGACACUGAGGUGCGAAAGCGUGGGUAGCAAACAGGAUUAGAUACCCCUGUAGUC